rnacentral:SRP_RNA from 1 species
UUGUAGGCUAGGCUGGGUGUUUAGGCCGCACCUGUAACUGUAAACGGUCUUUAGCAGAGCUGAAGCUUGGAAGGCGGCAUGAUUAUUUUGCUAAGUCUUGGCAACUACAAGGAUAUUCUGUCCUGAUUGGUUGUCAUGAUUGCGAAGGGUGUGAGGCCAGGAAUGGAGCAACACUAAGCAAUUAUGUCAAUGCUUUUAGGGGCGCGGGAUUGAGGAAUGGCCGGGGUUAAACUUAGUAGGAUAGUUGUGUCCACUUUCAGGCAUGCCUACGU